GGGAGUUGGGCUGCACUCUGGUUGCCAGGGGCAACGACUUCCCCUCAUUUGUCUGACAUAAAGAACAAGCUCAUCUAUAAAAAUUGAAUCUUCUUCAUUCCUCAUCCUCACCAGGAUCAACCUGAGUCAGAAACUAGACCUUCCUACCAGGACCGGUUGUUCCUCUCUCAGCUGCUGAUCCUACCUGCUUUAUCUGCAGCAUCUGCAGCCGUCAGGUUCUUGGAGUUGGGUCUGAUUCUGAAGGUGACGGCCGGUCCGACCACGCUGCAGAGGAGGAAACAGGUCCGAGGACAAACGAUAAAAAGUGGAUCAGAAGAUGUUGCAGAUAAACAGAUGAGAAGAUCCGAGUUGGACUGAAAGCUGGAGAGAUGAUGAGGAAAACAAGGAAACAUCCCCAGUUUCUGUCCUGUUUGAUUCAUCAGAGACGCAGCAGCUCGACCUUUAGGUCAUGAGCUGCUGACCUCUG